AUCAGCCUUUCGGGUGCGAUUCUGUGGGGUUUGAGGAGCUUAACACCUUCAUGCUUUGCAUAUUCGUGCUCUUGGGUGUACUUGCCCGUGUGGUUGGUUAACAUCAAUUUUGGUGGUCAUAAAAUGACUGGAGGAAUGUAGCUUCGAUCUUGUAUUGAAGUGUUAUAGCCUUCGGUAGAUGUGAUGAUCGAGAUUGAGGAUUGCAACGGAUACCCUUCGGGGCUACCUGUCUGAUCUCUGAUCGUUGCUCUGGUGCCGAAAGCUUGCUUACGGUUAUCAAAGUCGAUGGUCAAUAGGUUAGAACGGGUUAAAUUCGUUAAGGAUGUUGACGUAAUGGCUUU
rnacentral:rRNA from 1 species